GUCUACAGCCAUACCACUCUGAACACGCCCAAUCUCAUCUGAUCUUGGAAGCUAAGCAGGGUCCGGGCCUGGUUAGUACUUGGAUGGGAGACAGAACUUCUUAGGUCCAAUGAAGCAGAAGUCA
rnacentral:rRNA from 1 species